UAAUUGCUACAAACCCUGGCCUCUAUGCUCAGGUACCUGCUGUUGCUGUGUCUGCCUCUGGGGGCUGGCAGGAAUGGUACCAUGGCUGAAGGAAUGGGGAGAAUUAUGGGGAAUUCCUGAUUCCUCUACUGUAGGCAAGAGCACAACCCGGACGCUGGCAUGUGAGGUGAGCCCUGGUUCACGUCAUCUUCCCAAGACAUUAUGUGGUGGGCUCUUCAACCCCUAGGAGUGGAAGCCACCUCAGAGAGCAUGGAGUCUAAAACCCUCAUUUCCCAGACAGAAACAGUGAUGUAUGCACUCCUGGGGGCAGAUGGGAGGGUGGGAGCUUGGGCUCUGGUGGCUGACUGUCACAGAUGCUGACCAGUUCCUCCCGUUCCCGUUCCCUCCUGCUGUGGGUCCCUGGACUUUAACUCUGCUGUUCUCCUCCUUCCCAUGUGUGAAUGGUGAUAGAACCGUCGUCCGAGUGACACAGCACACUUAAAGUGCUUGGAGCAGUGAGCCAUGUGGUUGUUACUCAGCAAAGGUAUCGAGACCACAGCAGAACCGAGUCCUGGCUUGCCCAGACAGAAGUGAGGCCAGAGAAGUUACAGGCCUCAUCAACAACUGUAAGCCUCAUGAGGGGCAAAGGAGUCCUGCAGGCGAGUUCAGCUCCCUUCCUACAUAGCACUGACUCCCGUUGCCAGGGACCCUGGUGAAGCUAAGCCAGGGACUCAGGUGAAGCUAAGCAGGAGAAAUAAUUGGUUCCUUGUCCUGCUUCCCACCCACUCUCAGGUAAAGGUCACUUGACCUGUCUUCCCCUGGCAAACCAGAGACUGUAUGCAAAUCCUCAGGGCCCCGCCCCAGGCCCCACACAACCCCCCAUGGCCGUUCACUAUCACUGUUGUUUGAAAUGUAGGCAGGAACCCGUCCGUCCGCUGCUCAUGACCGACCCCCUCCUUCUUUCAAGCCUGGUUGUCAGCACAGCUGGCUCGCUCUCCUGCACACUCCCACCGUGCUGUCACAGAACCCCGAAGACACCAACGUUUCCACUCCUUCUUCGCUCGGAAGCUCUUCAGGGCUCAUCUUGUCCCCACGGCGCUUCUCAGGAAGAGGGGGUAGACUCUGGUGAUACGUCUUCAACGCCCAGUGCCCUGGUGCAUCCUAAUCAAAGUCCCCGACACCUCAUCCCAGGUCGGGAAUGCCCUGUUUUUUUGUCUCCCUCGCCAGGCAAGUUAAGGACACGGACAGGACAGCUACUGAGACACGUAAUUGUCAUUGUUCAGGUCUGUGAUCCCGGGGAGCUGCCACCUCGGACGGUACAGUGAGUGACCUUGAGCUGACCAAGAGAAACGCUGCUCUCCUCUAACAUUCUUGGCGACCAGAAUUCCCCCAGGGGAGCUGUUGUUUGAAGGAUGAACAAGAUCAAGAAGAGGAGAAAAAUCACAUCCCAGCCUGCGGAGUGGGAGAGUCUCGGGCUGUUUUAUGUGGUCAGGAAGCAAGUUUUUGUUGUCGUUUUUUUUAAAGACCAUUCCUUUCCGGGGAGAUGAAGGUUAGCCAUAAAGAACCAUUAUUCUCUAUUAUGACUCCACCCUGGCUCGAGACAAAAGGGAUGCAGAUGAGCGACAGGAACCCGCGCCCCGCCUUUUGUGUUUGCAAUGGUGAAUGUGCGCUCAGCUAUCUAUCCGGAGCCACGAUGAUUUCCUUUGCAACAUGGCCCUGCGCCCUCAGUACAGUUUGUUAUUUCACUCUUCCUCUGUGCUCACCUGGUUCUCAUUCCCCCCAGCCUUUUGUUUCCUUUGGACUGGUGGAGUUUCACUCUCUCUUUCAUCCAUUCCCACAGGCAGCUCGCUUUUUCCUUCUUCCUGGGGCUUCCCAGCCCUUCGGCACUUUCCACACAGGGUCCUGAGAACCCAACUCGGAAGGUGGAAGGACUCACCACCAGAUGGCACUCUAUGGACUACUCGGCACAAAGCAGAUCCGAAUGGUUAAAAACAUCAGGACGACAGCCAGGACUGUUACACAGACAAACGCCGUCUCAGAAAAAGUAAAAAUAAAUAAAAAUUUUUAAAAAAUCACUGAAAGCACCACAGGGCUUUUCUUAUACCUGAGAUAUAGAGAUCUCCAAAAUUAUUUUUAUUUCUUAUAAACAACAAUAGAACAUUUGCUCACAUACACCCACAUUUAUCCACUUGUAAUCAUUUGUGUGCUACUAUCAAUCUAUUCUAAAUAUUUUUUUAAAAUAUAAAAACAUCUAGACAAAUCUUUUGACACAUUUCUUAAUAUUUUCUCUCUCAUUAGAAUGAAAAAUAGUAUAAAUACUCGAGAGAAAUUUAUUUAAAUGGUCUCAGACUUCCUUCUACCCAAAGGAGUACCCUUUUCUUUAUUACAAGUGGGAUGUUUUAAUAAUUAUUUUUAUUUUUCGUGCAUUGAUGUUUUGCCUGUGUGUAUGUCUGUGUGAGGGUCCCCUGGAACUGGAGUUACAGACAGUUGUGAGCUGCCAUGUGGGUGCUGGGAAUUGAACCCAGGUCCUUUGGAAGAACAGCCAAUGCUCUUAACCACUGAGCCAUCUCUCUAGCUCCUGCUAUUUAUUUCUUAGGUUUUUUUUGAGACUCAAAACCAUAUGCAUGUAUUGUCUCAAACAGUUGCACACAAAAUAACCAGUUCUUACCAUGUUGAGCAAUAAAGGAAUAUUUGAAGUGAUUUCUAGAUGUGCUUGUAAACCCCGUUAACAGUAGGUUGGACAUCACAGCCAAGAGAACCUAUCAGCCAUCCGAAGACUGUUCAGGUAUAAAAAUUACUGGUUCAGUUGCAUGUUGAUUGGUAUCAAUAACUCCAGGGACCAAGAAGGUAAAGCCUACCAUGGAUACAAAGGGAAAAGAUGUCUCAGGAACCCAGAUUGCUAAGAAAGCCUAGAUCUCUGGAUGUGGACUCUGGUUCAUACAGGUCAUUUCCUCUGUAGUAGUGUGCACCUGAAUCCUGAACCAGGUUCCACGGGUGCCUCUCCAAAUCCCCUGCCUCCAAAGUAGAAAAAGGAACAAGGCACUGGAAGGAAGAUUGUAGGAGUCAGGACAUGGGAUCUGCAAUAUUAAAAAGCGUCUAUUUGAGAAGAAAGGUUGAUUGGUAGGUGCUGUGAGCUCACGUGGACAAUUCUGGGGCUCUGAGUUUUAUCACUAACUGGGAGAAGGCAUUUUUAUGGGGACAGAUUGGGUUAAACACAUUCUUUGGAUGGCCCAGAAAGAAGGGUUAGUAGCUACAUCUAAAAAUAGAAAUGCUACAGUCAACAUUGGCAGAAAAAAAAAAAAGACAAGAUGGAAGAUGCGGUUAGUAUAUAGUUCUACCAUAAGCUGAGGAUCCCUUGGUGAUUGUGUGUGUCAUGUGUAUGUCAUGCCACAAAACACCAAAGUAAAAGUGGCUGAAACAGCUAAAUGUUUAUUUCUUUUUUGCAAAACUCAAGAUGACACUCUUGCUAUGUUCUUCAUGGUUGCUAGGAAUAAGACUUCAAUGCACGUCUCCAAACUUACAACUAUACCAUCUGCUCCCAAAAUGUAGGAAGUGGGAUAUGCUUUUCCUUAAAAAAAAUUUUUUUAAGUACAUGAUGUCAUUGUUUUUUACUGCUGAGUAGUACUCCAUUGUGUAUAUGUGCCACAUUUUCUUUGUCCAUUAUCCACUUGAGGGGCAUCUAGGCUGUUUCUAGGUUCUGGGCUAUUAUGAAUAAAUGCUGCUAUGAACAUAA